GCAGGUUUAGCUCAGUUGGUUAGAGCAUGGUGUUUCUAAUGCCAAGGUCGCGGGUUCAAUUCCCGUACAGACUACG